GCAAGGAUGAGAUCAUCCCUGCCUCAUAAGAUUCAGAGUCCUGAGAAUGUUUAGAUGGCUUUCAACUUAUCACCCCUGAGGUGGCCAACAGUCGGGACUUUUGAGCUUCAGAUAAACUCCAGCCUUCCACAGUGGCACUGAGUUCUGGAAUCUUGUGAUUCAAUGUAGAAAACUUGGUUCCAGGUCCACACUCUUCCCGUCUCCCGCGACACCAGGCACGCGCAUGGGGCACAGACAUACACGAAGAGAGAGGCACCGUCAGAUAACAGCACCUCUGCAGCUGGACACAUCUGCCUGAAAUACCAAUUGCCAGCAGGAGUGAGGAGUAGCAACCAGCUGGCUAUUUUGAACACGGCUCUAGCGGCAAAGGAUCACGGCAGUGGUGACUCCUGCUCCGCAAGCUUUGCUGUAGUCAGAGCCACCUCAGGAAACUUGCACCAACUUCAGUGGACGUCCUUCGAAACAAGACAAUCCCAGGUGGACUUAAGGUGAUCGUGUUCACCUAGCAGCUCUUCUCAGCUCAGGACAGGAGGGCAGCACUUCCCCAAGGCCUCCGCAAAAAAGGCGGUGAUUGGUGAAAUGUACGGCUUCUGAUUGGCUCUCAAUCAAGGCUUGUGAUUGGCUCGCAGGCAAGGCUCGUGCCUGAUCCACCUGUAAGGCUUGUGAUUGGUGGAGUUGGAAGGUAGUCUUUAAAAGCGUGGCCAGUUUUAUACAUCCUGAUACAGAAAACUUAUAGGUUUGUUUGCUGUCCUAAUUUUAACAGUUAUCCGUGAUGCCCACACAUUUUGCACAAGCUUCUCUUAGCUGUGCUAUACAGUAUAGAACUUUAGGUGACGUAAUCAAUUCAAGCACGUUUCAGUCACUUUAUCCGCUCCCCGUAUGCUUCCUAAAGUGCUGUUGUUGAGUGUAAUUUCUUUGUCCGAUCAGUUAGGAGUAUUGCUUGAUUACAUAAUAUCUUGUCUUCAAACUGAUUGCAUGUUUGAUGUGUACUUUUAAGUUAGAGAAAAGGCAAAAAUAAAAUACCUGUUUGAAGAAUUAAAAAAAAAAAAAGAAAAAGAAAGUGGGGCUGUGAAUGAUGAAAUUAUAGUCUGUGUGCAAGCAUGCCAUGUUCUUCCCCAUACAGUUCCCAGCUUAGUCUGGGAGGCUUCUCUCCUGGGCACGAACCACCCUCCCACACCGGUGACACCUCCAUUGUCCCCCCCCCCCCUCCCCGCGCAGUUCUGCAAUAUCAGGUCUUAGAAAGGGCUUCCUCCGAGUGGUCUUUUGACUCCCUGUGGGUAAAACAGGCUGAACAUGAAGACUGACAAACACCGGGACUUUUCUAGCCACAGCGAUGGCGCAGAACUUCGCCCCCCCCCGCCCCCAAGAAUUCUAAGUCACCAGGGAUGAAAGGGCUUUAUAACAAAAGCUCAAAACUAUGAAACCAAGAGGAAGCUAAGAGUCCCAGAAAGCCAGUGUGAGCUAAGUGUUGGGAUGCCCGCAGCCCUGAGCCGCAGCAGACUCUGAAAACCAUGUCUCUGAAGGACCUUGGAUGUGCUGAGAAGGUAAGAGACAAUGGAGAAGCCGAGGUUACGGAAGAUGAGGGGCUGUGAGGAGCUGAAGGGAGGAGCCGAGGCUAUGAGGGUUGCAAGCCCCAGAUGCCAGAAGAGUUUGAGAGAGCUGCGGAGGGCUAAAGAGCUGGGAGUCCCCUAUGCCUAAAGCUCAGGGCUCUGCUGAUUGCUGUCAAGUGUUAGUACUCGGAGCAGCGAACCUGUGCCUUGAGCACCUGCAGCGAUCAACCUCCAGCUUGGAAAGCGUGGAGCUGUAAACCUCUCAUCCCUGAGGCUUAGAGCCUUAAGCCUCUGGAUUUGGGAGCUUAGCUGUGAGACUCUGGAACUCAGGCCCUUCAACAUUUAGGGAGCUGCUCCUUGGCUAUUUUUGAUAUCUCUCCAGAUUGGUUGAAAGAAUGCCCAGGCAGCCAUCUGCCACAGCUUCUUCAUGUGACUGUGGGUCAGCACUGAUGGAGACCUUCCCCACGUUCUUGCAUGUUUAUCUGUUUAUCCCCAUCCCUGAAUUCUGACCUGGGCUGUUUGAUAUCGUGAAUGGAGGGAGGUUUGGUGGCCCUUCUUCUUAGAUGAACACCUGGAAACUUGCUCCGUCACAGCCUGAGGAAGCUGCCACGCCUCUGCCUGUCCCUCAGGAUUCAGACCUGAGCUGCUUGCUGCUAAAAGUCUGAAAACUUGCUUCAUGCAUUUUGCCUGGAGUUUUAGCUGUUUCAGGUGAGAGUGUACAUCUAGUCCCUGUUACUCCAUCUUGGCCAGGAUUAGAAGUCCUGGUGCUAUUUUAAGUGAUAUUAAAGUUUUAAAAUUCCAAUUAUUCAAUUACAGUAAAAACAAGAGAUUUUGACAUUUGACCUUGUACUGUGCAAUCUUGGUGGCAGAUUCCUUAGGAGUUUCUACAAGUACAGCCGUGCUGUGAGUGCAGGGAGUUCAGUUCUUCCAGUCCCUUUGGGUCUCUGCCACCCUUUCUGUCUCUUUCCCUCCUAACUGUUCUAGGGACUUUAUGCAGUGUUGAACAGAAGUGUAAGGAAAGGGCUUUCCUGCCUUGUUCUUGCUGUUAAAAUGGAGAGUAUUCAGUCCCUAACCAUUGUGUGUGGUGUGACCACUAGGCCUUAGCAUGUUAGACGACUAACAUGAAUAGUCGUCAAUUUUUUUAAAAUCAAAUUUCCUGCAUCUGUUCAGAUAAUCACAUGAUUUGUCUCCUUCAUUCUCUUGACGAAGCAAACCUUGGUGAUUAUUUGACUAAAUAUUGUACUCUUGAGAAACUCUACUUAAUCAGAAUAAAUUCUUUCAAAGGCCUCCUUUUAUAUAUUUCUUCUUCUAGUUAAUGUUUUAUUAGGGAUAUUGUAUCAAUAUUCCUGGGAGUACUGAAUCAGUUUUGCUUUCUGUUAUGAGUUUGUUAGGUUCUAACAGCAGUGUAAGACCACUAACUAACUAACUAAAUGACCUCUUCCUCUGCUGUAAGACGUAGAAUUCAUCAAUGAAGCUGUUUGACUUAGAGAUUUUUGUGUGGAAAAAUUUUUGUUUUG